GAUGAACGCUGGCGGCGUGCCUAAUACAUGCAAGUAGAACGCUGAAGGAGGAGCUUGCUCUUCUGGAUGAGUUGCGAACGGGUGAGUAACGCGUAGGUAACCUGCCUGGUAGCGGGGGAUAACUAUUGGAAACGAUAGCUAAUACCGCAUGACAACAGUUAUUGCAUGAUAACUGUUUAAAAGGGGCAACUGCUCCACUACCAGAUGGACCUGCGUUGUAUUAGCUAGUUGGUGAGGUAACGGCUCACCAAGGCGACGAUACAUAGCCGACCUGAGAGGGUGAUCGGCCACACUGGGACUGAGACACGGCCCAGACUCCUACGGGAGGCAGCAGUAGGGAAUCUUCGGCAAUGGACGGAAGUCUGACCGAGCAACGCCGCGUGAGUGAAGAAGGUUGUCGGAUCGUAAAGCUCUGUUGUAAGAGAAGAACGAGUGUGAGAGUGGAAAGUUCACACUGUGACGGUAGCUUACCAGAAAGGGACGGCUAACUACGUG
rnacentral:rRNA from 1 species